rnacentral:rRNA from 1 species
CCUACGGGUGGCAGCAGUGGGGAAUAUUGGGCAAUGGGCGCAAGCCUGACCCAGCAACGACGCGUGAAGGAAGAAGGCUUUCGGGGUGUAAACUUCUGGUAAGAGGGAAGAGCAGAAGACGGUACCUCUUGAAUAAGCCACGGCUAACUACGUGCCAGCAGCCGCGGUAAUACGUAGGUGGCAAGCGUUGUCCGGAUUUACUGGGUGUAAAGGGCGUGCAGCCGGGAAGAAAAGUCAGAUGUGAAAUCCCGCGGCUCAACCGCGGAACUGCAUUUGAAACUGUUUUUCUUGAGUACCGGAGAGGUCAUCGGAAUUCCUUGUGUAGCGGUGAAAUGCGUAGAUAUAAGGAAGAACACCAGUGGCGAAGGCGGCUGACUGGACGGCAACUGACGGUGAGGCGCGAAAGCGUGGGGAGCAAACAGGAUUAGAUACCCGUGUAGUC